AGAGUUUGAUCAUGGCUCAGGAUGAACGCUAGCUACAGGCUUAACACAUGCAAGUCGAGGGGCAGCAUGACCUAGCAAUAGGUUGAUGGCGACCGGCGCACGGGUGAGUAACACGUAUCCAACCUACCGGUUAUUCCGGGAUAGCCUUUCGAAAGAAAGAUUAAUACCGGAUAGUAUAACGAGAAGGCAUCUUCUUGUUAUUAAAGAAUUUCGAUAACCGAUGGGGAUGCGUUCCAUUAGUUUGUUGGCGGGGUAACGGCCACCAAGACAUCGAUGGAUAGGGGUUCUGAGAGGAAGGUCCCCCACAUUGGAACUGGACGACACGGCCCAAACUCCGUACGGGAGGCCA
rnacentral:rRNA from 1 species